UACGUAGGUGGCAAGCGUUGUCCGGAUUUACUGGGCGUAAAGGGCUCGUAGGCGGCCAACUAAGUCGGAUGUGAAAUCCCCAGGCUCAACCUGGGAACUGCAUCCGAUACUGGAUGGCUUGAAUUCGGGAGAGGGAUGCGGAAUUCCAGGUGUAGCGGUGAAAUGCGUAGGAUAUCUGGAGGAACACCGGUGGCGAAAGCGGCACACUGGAUCUCAACUGACGCUGAGGCACGAAAGCCAGGGGAGCGAACGGG
rnacentral:rRNA from 1 species